GACUCUUGAAUAGCAUCGGCUUUGGAGCGCCAUUCCAGAGUGAGACUUCGAAGAAUUUUACGGACAAGCUCCCUAUCCGUGAAAGUCUUCUUGAGCGCAUGAAGAUCAUUAACGAUUUUUGAAAUUCGUUUGAACAUAUCGUCUAUCUUCUCGCUUUCCUUCAUAUGAAAAAGUUCAUAUUCGUGGGUUAGAAAAUCUAUUUUAGCUUCUCUUACCUGGUCCGUACCUUCGUAGGUGAUCUCCAAUUUAUCCCACAUUUGCUUAGCCGUGGUGCAACAUGA
rnacentral:lncRNA from 1 species